rnacentral:rRNA from 8 species
UGGAAGUUGAAACCCGCCAAGGAGCGUGUAACAACUCACCUGCCGAAUGAAUUAGCCCUGAAAAUGGAUGGCGCUCAAGCGUGUUACUUAUACUCGACCUUUGGGGCGAAUGUGAAGUCCUAAAGAGUAGGAGGGCGUGGAGAUGGUGCAGAAGGCUAUGGGUGUGAACCUGGCUGGAACUGUCUCUAGUGCAGAUCUUGGUGGUAGUAGCAUAUAUUCAAAUGAGAACUUUGAAGAUUGAAGUGGAGAAGGGUUCCAU